rnacentral:rRNA from 1 species
AGAGUUUGAUCCUGGCUCAGGAUGAACGCUAGCGGCAGGCCUAACACAUGCAAGUCGAACGGUAACAGCAGAGCUUGCUCUGGCUGACGAGUGGCGCACGGGUGCGUAACGCGUAUACAAUCUACCUUUUACAGAGGGAUAGCCCAGAGAAAUUUGGAUUAACACCUUAUAGUAUUGUAAGAUGGCAUCAUUUAACAAUUAAACAUUUAUGGGUAAAAGAUGAGUAUGCGUUCUAUUAGCUAGUAGGUAAGGUAACGGCUUACCUAGGCGACGAUAGAUAGGGGCCCUGAGAGGGGGAUCCCCCACACUGGUACUGAGACACGGACCAGACUCCUACGGGAGGCAGCAGUGAGGAAUAUUGGACAAUGGAGGCAACUCUGAUCCAGCCAUGCCGCGUGCAGGAAGACGGCCCUAUGGGUUGUAAACUGCUUUUAUAUAGGAAGAAACCUUUCCACGAGUAGAGAUUUGACGGUACUAUAAGAAUAAGGACCGGCUAACUCCGUGCCAGCAGCCGCGGUAAUACGGAGGGUCCGAGCGUUAUCCGGAAUCAUUGGUUUUAAAGGGUCCGUAGGCGGACUAUUAAGUCAGAGGUGAAAUCCCACAGCUUAACUGUGGAACUGCCUUUGAUACUGGUAGUCUUGAGUUAUAUGGAAGUAGAUAGAAUGUGUAGUGUAGCGGUGAAAUGCAUAGAUAUGAUACAGAACUCCGAUAGCGAAGGCAGCUCACUAAACUGUAACUGACGCUCAGGCACGAAAGCGUGGGGAGCAAACAGGAUUAGAUACCCUGGUAGUCCACGCCGUAAACGAUGAUCACUCGUUGUUGGCAAUACACCGUCAGCGACUGAACGAAAGCAUUAAGUGUUAAGUAAUCCACCUGGGGAUUAUGCUCGGAAGAGGGAAACUCAAAGGAAUUGACGGGGGCCCGCACAAGCGGAGGAGCAUGUGGUUUAAUUCGAUGAUACGCGAGGAACCUUACCUGGGCUCAAACGUAGAGUGACCAUCUGUGAAAGCAGAUUUUCCUUCGGGACAGUCUACGAGGUGCUGCAUGGUUGUCGUCAGCUCGUGCCGUGAGGUGUCGGGUUAAGUCCCAUAACGAGCGCAACCCCUAUUCUUAGUUGCCAUCAGAUAAUGCUGGGGACUCUAAGGAAACUGCCUACGCAAGUAGUGAGGAAGGUGGGGAUGACGUCAAAUCAGCACGGCCCUUACGUCCAGGGCUACACACGUGCUACAAUGGUCGAUACAGAGGGCAGCUACCUGGUGACAGGAUGCUAAUCUCAAAAACCGGUCUCAGUUCGGAUCGAAGUCUGCAACUCGUCUUCGUGAAGUUGGAUUCGCUAGUAAUCCCAUAUCAGCAAUGGUGCGGUGAAUACGUCCCCGGGCCUUGUACACACCGCCCGUCAAGCCAUGGAAGCUGGGGGUACCUGAAGUCUGUGACCGCAAGGAGCGGCGUAGGGUAAAACUAGUAACUGGGGGCUAAGUCGUAACAAGGUAA